GUUUUAGUUUUCGUUUACUAAUAUCACCCUGUUUCCUGUAGACAUCUUUUUGAAGUGAAGAUGAGCUGGAAUGGAGACAGUCGUUUUUGGCAGAACAGCCAUGAAGCUAUUCCAGCACCUGAUUCACAAAACAACUACUGCGAUCCAGACUUGAGCUGACUCCAAAUCAACACAUAACCUGUUAAAAUCUGCCUCACUACAUAUGAUAUAUAUCCAGCUAUGAUGCUUCUCCACAUCUUUUCAUCAUCGUUUGAUGAAUUAUAUCCACUAUGAUUGAAAUAAAACAAACACUGCUUGGAUUGCGGGUGGUUUGUGAAUA
rnacentral:lncRNA from 1 species